CCGGAGGGUUGGUUCAUCCAGGUUGCUGUCUCCUUUGCCAAGAAGUCUUAAGGGGAAGGUCGAUGAAGGAACUGUUCUUCACGUGGAGAAGGAGAGCUUUUAAGGCGAGGUCAGUGAAGUCCCUCAGGCGAGUCCAAAGUAGGCUCGAGCAAACACAGAGUGCGUCAGGCUGUUUCCCAAGCUCUGUAACUGAUUCCUCAGUCCCGCAAAAUUGCUAAUUGUCGCUAAGAACCACUCGUGGCGCCAUGGCCAGGAGGCACCGCGCCAGGAAGACCAGCGAGCUGCUCCCGCUCAGCAGAGGUAACACAAGCCUUUGUCACGUUUCAGCACCAGAAUUUGAACCCACGAAGGGUUUCCUUAUGCCGACCCAGACGUGCACCAAACUUGGCUGUCCGAACCUUCCGGGAGCUUGUUAAA